GACGAACGCUGGCGGCGUGCCUAAUACAUGCAAGUUGAGCGAUGAAGCUUGGUGCUUGCACCAAUUUGAAGAGCAGCGAACGGGUGAGUAACGCGUGGGGAAUCUGCCUUUGAGCGGGGGACAACAUUUGGAAACGAAUGCUAAUACCGCAUAAUAACUUUAAACAUAAGUUUUAAGUUUGAAAGAUGCAAUUGCAUCACUCAAAGAUGAUCCCGCGUUGUAUUAGCUAGUUGGUGAGGUAAAGGCUCACCAAGGCGAUGAUACAUAGCCGACCUGAGAGGGUGAUCGGCCACAGUGGGACUGAGACACGGCCCAAACUCCUACGGGAGGCAGCAGUAGGGAAUCUUCGGCAAUGGACGAAAGUCUGACCGAGCAACGCCGCGUGAGUGAAGAAGGUUUUCGGAUCGUAAAACUCUGUUGGUAGAGAAGAACGUUGGUGAGAGUGGAAAGCUCAUCAAGUGACGGUAACUACCCAGAAAGGGACGGCUAACUACGUG
rnacentral:rRNA from 1 species